CCUACGGGAGGCAGCAGUGGGGAAUAUUGCACAAUGGGGGAAACCCUGAUGCAGCGACGCCGCGUGAGUGAAGAAGUAAUUCGUUAUGUAAAGCUCUAUCAGCAGGGAAGAAAAUGACGGUACCUGAGUAAGAAGCCCCGGCUAACUACGUGCCAGCAGCCGCGGUAAUACGUAGGGGGCAAGCGUUAUCCGGAUUUACUGGGUGUAAAGGGGGCGUAGACGGCAGGGCAAGUCUGGAGUGAAAGGCGGGGGCUCAACCCCCGGACUGCUGUGGACACUGUACGGCGGGAGUGCAGGAGAGGAAUGGGGAAUUCGUGGUGUAGGGGGGAAAUGGGGAGAUAUAGGGAGGAA
rnacentral:rRNA from 1 species